rnacentral:rRNA from 1 species
CCCUUAGAUGUUCUGGGCCGCACGCGCGCUACACUGACUGGUGCAACAAGUGUCUGACCUUGGCUCGAGAGGCCUGGGCAACCUUUGAACGCCAGUCGUGCUGGGGAUAGAUUCUUGCAAUUAUUAAUCUUGAACGAGGAAUUCCUAGUAAACGCAGAUCAUCAAUCUGCAUUGAUUACGUCCCUGCCCUUUGUACACACCGCCCGUCGCACCUACCGAUUGGAUGGUCCGGUGAAGCCUCGGGAUUGUGGUUCUUGCCGCUUUAUUGUGGCGUGACUGCGAGAACUUGUCUAAACCUUAUCAUCUAGAGGAAGGUGAAGUCGUAACA